rnacentral:rRNA from 1 species
UACGGAGGGUUCAAGCGUUGUUCGGAAUUACUGGGCGUAAAGAGCGCGUAGGCGGCGCAGAUAGUCAGAUGUGAAAGCCCUGGGCUUAACCCAGGAGGUGCAUUUGAUACUGCUGUGCUAGAGUACCGAAGAGGUAAGUGGAAUUCCUAGUGUAGAGGUGAAAUUCGUAGAUAUUAGGAGGAACACCAGUGGCGAAGGCG